rnacentral:rRNA from 1 species
UGGGGAAUUUUGGACAAUGGGCGAAAGCCUGAUCCAGCAAUGCCGCGUGUGUGAAGAAGGCCUUCGGGUUGUAAAGCACUUUUGUUCGGGAAGAAAAGGUUUGUGCUAAUAUCAUAAGCCGAUGACGGUACCGAAAGAAUAAGCACCGGCUAACUACGUGCCAGCAGCCGCGGUAAUACGUAGGGUGCAAGCGUUAAUCGGAAUUACUGGGCGUAAAGCGUGCGCAGGCGGUUGUGUAAGACAGGUGUGAAAUCCCCGGGCUUAACCUGGGAACCGCAUUUGUGACUGCACGACUAGAGUGUGUCAGAGGGGGGUAGAAUUCCACGUGUAGCAGUGAAAUGCGUAGAUAUGUGGAGGAAUACCGAUGGCGAAGGCAGCCCCCUGGGAUAACACUGACGCU